GAUGAACGCUGGCGGCGUGCUUAACACAUGCAAGUCGAACGGAAAGGCCCUGCUUUUGCGGGGUGCUCGAGUGGCGAACGGGUGAGUAACACGUGAGUAACCUGCCCUUGACUUUGGGAUAACUUCAGGAAACAGGGGCUAAUACCGCAUAGGAGCUCUUGCUGCACGGUGGGGGUUGGAAAGUUUCGGCGGUUGGGGAUGGACUCGCGGCUUAUCAGCUUGUUGGUGGGGUAGUGGCUUACCAAGGCUUUGACGGGUAGCCGGCCUGAGAGGGUGACCGGCCACAUUGGGACUGAGAUACGGCCCAGACUCCUACGGGAGGCAGCAGUGGGGAAUACUGCACAAUGGGCGGAAGCCUGAUGCAGCAACGCCGCGUGCGGGAUGACGGCCUUCGGGUUGUAAACCGCUUUCGCCUGUGACGAAGCGUGAGUGACGGUAAUGGGUAAAGAAGCACCGGCUAACUACGUG
rnacentral:rRNA from 1 species